GCAGUGCGGCCAGGACCACGCGCGACUCCUCCUUUCCGCCGCGGCCGCUCGGGGCGCGGGAGCGCGAGGACUGAUCGAGGCCACCGCUGCGCCCCCGCCGUGCGGGCCUCCUCUCGGCGAUGGUGGUGGCCCGGGUCGCGACCCUCUGCGCCGGGCACCCCCUGCAGCCUCCCGCGGGCUGACCCAGCCUGAGGACCGCGUCCCCGCAGGAGGCGUCCCUGCGAUCCCGGCUCCAGUGCUUUCCACAUCUGGGCAGGCCGGGCCAACCCCCUCACCGCCAGGUGGCUUACGGAGGACAGGAUUUGCUCCACACAGCUCUGGAGGCCGGAAGCUGAGGUUAAGGCCUGGUUCAGGUCUCUCGCUCGCUCCUGAGUCCACUUUGCUCGCUCUUCUCAGCUGCGGGUCUGACUGCAGACUCCUCAGGUGCUGGAGCCCCAUCCCUGGCCACAGCUCCGCCCGCUCCUGCUGUCACCCGCUCGUCCCCACCGCCUGCACAUCAUAGGCACUGUCCUCGCCGUCCUUCCCAGGCUCUGGGCUUUUCUAAGUCUGUCUCCUCCCAGGACUCUCCCUACAGUAUCAUCCUCCACCUGCAAGGCCCCUCUCCAUCAUGGCCCCAGGCACUCUGUCCUGACAUCCUUGGGAAGAGCGCUUGAUGGACCCCAAGUGGCCCUGCUGGCUUGUGUGGCCUCAGUGUCUCUUAUGUUUGAUGUGACACCAGCUGGAAGCUGUUACCUUCACACUCUGCUGCACCAGAGAAAGGAGACAGCUUUUAAAGAACCGAAUACCUCAAACUGAAGUUACAUAUAUUAAG